GAACCCCUGGCGCAGUUGGUAGCGCGUGAGAUUCCAGCAAAGCCUGAGCCUCCGGUAGGCUGCGGGCACUCCCGCAGUCUACCGGAGGCGAACACCAGUGCAGAGAGAAUCCUCAAGGUCAUCCGUUCAAAUCGGGUGGGGUUCA
rnacentral:tRNA from 1 species